rnacentral:rRNA from 1 species
UUGAAGAGUUUGAUCAUGGCUCAGAUUGAACGCUGGCGGCAGGCCUAACACAUGCAAGUCGAACGGUAACAGGAAGCAGCUUGCUGCUUCGCUGACGAGUGGCGGACGGGUGAGUAAUGUCUGGGAAGCUGCCUGAUGGAGGGGGAUAACUACUGGAAACGGUAGCUAAUACCGCAUAAUGUCGCAAGACCAAAGGGGGGGGACCUUCGGGCCUCUUGCCAUCGGAUGUGCCCAGAUGGGAUUAGCUUGUUGGUGGGGUAACGGCUCACCAAGGCGACGAUCCCUAGCUGGUCUGAGAGGAUGACCAGCCACACUGGAACUGAGACACGGUCC